UAAGGAAUAUUGGUCAAUGGACGCAAGUCUGAACCAGCCAUGCCGCGUGAAGGAUGAAGGUCCUCUGGAUUGUAAACUUCUUUUAUCUGGGACGAAAACGGGAUUUUUAUCUCAAUUGACGGUACCAGAGGAAUAAGCACCGGCUAACUCCGUGCCAGCAGCCGCGGUAAUACGGAGGGUGCGAGCGUUAUCCGGAUUUACUGGGUUUAAAGGGUGCGUAGGUGGGCUUAUAAGUCAGUGGUGAAAUCUCCGAGCUUAACUUGGAAACUGCCGUUGAUACUAUAGGUCUUGAAUUAUCUGGAGGUAAGCGGAAUAUGUCAUGUAGCGGUGAAAUGCUUAGAUAUGACAUAGAACACUAAUUGCGAAGGCAGCUUACUGCAUAUAAAUUGACGCUGAGGCACGAAAGCGUGGGGAUCAAAC
rnacentral:rRNA from 1 species